rnacentral:misc_RNA from 1 species
GAUGAAGAACGUAGCGAAAUGCGAUAAGUAAUGUGAAUUGCAGAAUUCAGUGAAUCAUCGAAUCUUUGAACGCACCUUGCGCUCCUUGGUAUUCCGAGGAGCAUGCCUGUUUGAGUGUCAUGAAAUUCUCAACCUUUUCAGCUUUCUUUGUUGAUCAGGCUUGGAUGUGGGAGUAUGCGGGCUUCUCAGAAGUCGGCUCUCCUGAAAUGCAUUAGCGGGACCUUUGUUGCCUGGCUUUGGUGUGAUAAUUGUCUACGCCAUUGUAGUCAAGCAGCUUAAAAUGAGGUUUCAGCUUCUAACCGUCUCCCCUGAGACAACUUUUUGACAAUUUGACCUCAAAUCAGGUAGGACUACCCGCUGAACUUAAGCAUAUCAAUAAGCGGAGGA